rnacentral:rRNA from 1 species
CUACGGGAUGCACCAGUGGGGAAUCUUAGACAAUGGGCGCAAGCCUGAUCUAGCCAUGCCGCGUGAGUGGCGAAGGCCUUAGGGUCGUAAAGCUCUUUCGCUGGGGAAGAUAAUGACGGUACCCAGUAAAGAAACCCCGGCUAACUCCGUGCCAGCAGCCGCGGUAAUACGGAGGGGGUUAGCGUUGUUCGGAAUUACUGGGCGUAAAGCGCGCGUAGGCGGAUCAGAAAGUUGGGGGUGAAAUCCCGGGGCUCAACCCCGGAACUGCCUUCAAAACUCCUGGUCUUGAGUUCGAGAGAGGUGAGUGGAAUUCCGAGUGUAGAGGUGAAAUUCGUAGAUAUUCGGAGGAACACCAGUGGCGAAGGCGGCUCACUGGCUCGAUACUGACGCUGAGGUGCGAAAGCGUGGGGAGCAAACAGGAUUAGAUACCCGGGUAGUC